CCCUACGGGGCGCUCGAAUGGUGCAAGUUUUUUGCAAACGCCCCCCUCCCUCCUGAAGACAAUUCAGUGAUUAUAACCAACGGGGGCGGGAUCGGCGUUCUGGCGACGGACGCCUGCGAGAAAUACGGCGUCAAGCUCUAUGACGACUAUGAGAAGAUGAAAGAGACCUUUUCGGGGAUGAUGCCCUCUUUCGGGUCGGCGAAAAAUCCGAUCGAUCUCACGGGCGAGGCGACGUCAAAUCACUAGCUGGGGGCCUUCAAGGCCUCCCUCCAGAGCCCGGAGAUCCAUGCUGCGAUCGCCCUUUACUGCGAGACGGCCGUCUUCGAUAUCGAGAAUUUUACGCCGGUGAUUGAGCAGUAUUACCAUUGGUUCAAAGAGGCGAACAAACCCAUCGUCUUCUGUUUGGCGGGGGGGC
rnacentral:rRNA from 1 species